UGGUCACUCCUACGGGAGGCAGCAGUGGGGAAUAUUGCACAAUGGGCGCAAGCCUGAUGCAGCCAUGCCGCGUGUGUGAAGAAGGCCUUCGGGUUGUAAAGCACUUUCAGUUGUGAGGAAAGGUUAGUCGCUAAUAUCGGCUAGCUGUGACGUUAGCAAACAGAAAGAAAGCACCGGCUAACUCCGUGCCAGAGCCGCGGGUAAUACGGAGGGUGCGAGCGUUAAUCGGAAUUACUGGGCGUAAAGCGCGUGUAGGUGGCUUGUUAAGCCAGAUGUGAAAGCCCCGGGCUCAACCUGGGAACUGCAUUUGGAACUGGCAGGCUAGAGUUUUGUAGAGGGUGGUAGAAUUUCAGGUGUAGCGGUGAAAUGCGUAGAGAUCUGAAGGAAUACCGGUGGCGAAGGCGACCACCUGGCCAAUAACUGACACUGAGACGCGAAAGCGUGGGGAGCAAACAGGAUUAGAUACCCUGGUAG
rnacentral:rRNA from 1 species